rnacentral:rRNA from 1 species
UACGUAGGGUGCAAGCGUUGUCCGGAAUUAUUGGGCGUAAAGAGCUCGUAGGCGGUUUGUUGCGUCGGCUGUGAAAUCCCGAGGCUCAACCUCGGGUCUGCAGUCGAUACGAGCAAACUAGAGUGUUGCAGGGGAGACUGGAAUUCCUGGUGUAGCGGUGAAAUGCGCAGAUAUCAGGAGGAACACCGGUGGCGAAGGCGGGUCUCUGGGCCUUACCUGACGCUGAGGAGCGAAAGCGUGGGUAGCGAACAGG